rnacentral:rRNA from 1 species
UACGGAGGGUGCAAGCGUUAUCCGGAUUUACUGGGUUUAAAGGGUGCGUAGGUGGGUCUGUAAGUCAGUGGUGAAAUCUCUGAGCUUAACUCGGAAACUGCCAUUGAUACUAUAGGUCUUGAAUUAUCUGGAGGUAAGCGGAAUAUGUCAUGUAGCGGUGAAAUGCUUAGAUAUGACAUAGAACACCCAUUGCGAAGGCAGCUUACUACGGAUAUAUUGACGCUGAGGCACGAAAGCGUGGGGAUCAAACAGG